rnacentral:rRNA from 1 species
GACGAACGCUGGCGGCGUGCCUAAUACAUGCAAGUAGAACGCUGAAGGAGGAGCUUGCUUCUCUGGAUGAGUUGCGAACGGGUGAGUAACGCGUAGGUAACCUGCCUGGUAGCGGGGGAUAACUAUUGGAAUCGAUAGCUAAUACCGCAUAAGAGUAGAUGUUGCAUGACAUUUGCUUAAAAGGUGCAAUUGCAUCACUACCAGAUGGACCUGCGUUGUAUUAGCUAGUUGGUGGGGUAACGGCUCACCAAGGCGACGAUACAUAGCCGACCUGAGAGGGUGAUCGGCCACACUGGGACUGAGACACGGCCCAGACUCCUACGGGAGGCAGCAGUAGGGAAUCUUCGGCAAUGGACGGAAGUCUGACCGAGCAACGCCGCGUGAGUGAAGAAGGUUUUCGGAUCGUAAAGCUCUGUUGUAAGAGAAGAACGAGUGUGAGAGUGGAAAGUUCACACUGUGACGGUAUCUUACCAGAAAGGGACGGCUAACUACGUG